CCCUUAGACGUUCCGGGCCGCACGCGCGCUACACUGACGAAGGCAACGAGCUUUCCUUUACCGAAAGGUACGGGUAAUCUUUUGAAACUUCGUCGUGCUGGGGAUAGAUCCUUGCAAUUUUUGAUCUUAAACGAGGAAUUCCUAGUAAGCGCAAGUCAUCAACUUGCGUUGAUUACGUCCCUGCCCUUUGUACACACCGCCCGUCGCUACUACCGAUUGAAUGGUUUAGUGAGGCCUUCGGAUCCGCGACUCGUUUUGUGGAGAAGUUGGACAAACUCAGUCAUUUAGAGGAAGUAAAAGUCGUAACA
rnacentral:rRNA from 1 species